rnacentral:rRNA from 1 species
GAUGAACGCUGGCGGCGUGCCUAAUACAUGCAAGUCGAGCGAACAGAUGAGGAGCUUGCUCCUCUGACGUUAGCGGCGGACGGGUGGGUAACACGUGGAUAACCUACCUAUAAGACUGGGAUAACUUCGGGAAACCGGAGCUAAUACCGGAUAAUAUAUUGAACCGCAUGGUUCAAUAGUGAAAGACGGUUUUGCUGUCACUUAUAGAUGGAUCCGCGCCGCAUUAGCUAGUUGGUAAGGUAACGGCUUACCAAGGCAACGAUGCGUAGCCGACCUGAGAGGGUGAUCGGCCACACUGGAACUGAGACACGGUCCAGACUCCUACGGGAGGCAGCAGUAGGGAAUCUUCCGCAAUGGGCGAAAGCCUGACGGAGCAACGCCGCGUGAGUGAUGAAGGUCUUCGGAUCGUAAAACUCUGUUAUUAGGGAAGAACAAAUGUGUAAGUAACUAUGCACGUCUUGACGGUACCUAAGCAGAAAGCCACGGCUAACUACGU